AUUGAACGCUGGCGGCAUGCUUUACACAUGCAAGUCGAACGGCAGCGCGGGCUUCGGCCUGGCGGCGAGUAGCGAACGGGUGAGUAAUACAUCGGAACGUGCCCAGUAGUGGGGGAUAGCUCGGCGAAAGCCGGAUUAAUACCGCAUACGACCUGAGGGUGAAAGCGGGGGAUCUUCGGACCUCGCGCUAUUGGAGCGGCCGAUGGCAGAUUAGCUAGUUGGUGGGGUAAAGGCCUACCAAGGCGACGAUCUGUAGCUGGCCUGAGAGGACGACCAGCCACACUGGGAAUGAGACACGGCCCAGACCCCUACGGGAGGCAGCAGUGGGGAAUUUUGGACAAUGGGCGAAAGCCUGAUCCAGCAAUGCCGCGUGUGUGAUGAAGGCCUUCGGGUUGUAAAGCACUUUUGGCGGGAACGAAAAGGACUGUGCCAAUACCACGGUUCGAUGACGGUACCCGCAGAAUAAGCACCGGCUAACUACGUG
rnacentral:rRNA from 1 species